rnacentral:rRNA from 1 species
GUAGGCGGGGUAACGGCCCACCUAGUCUUCGAUGGAUAGGGGUUCUGAGAGGAAGGUCCCCCACAUUGGAACUGAGACACGGUCCAAACUCCUACGGGAGGCAGCAGUGAGGAAUAUUGGUCAAUGGACGAGAGUCUGAACCAGCCAAGUAGCGUGAAGGAUGACUGCCCUAUGGGUUGUAAACUUCUUUUAUAAAGGAAUAAAGUCGGGUAUGGAUACCCGUUUGCAUGUACUUUAUGAAUAAGGAUCGGCUAACUCCGUGCCAGCAGCCGCGGUAAUACGGAGGAUCCGAGCGUUAUCCGGAUUUAUUGGGUUUAAAGGGAGCGUAGAUGGAUGUUUAAGUCAGUUGUGAAAGUUUGCGGCUCAACCGUAAAAUUGCAGUUGAUACUGGAUAUCUUGAGUGCAGUUGAGGCAGGCGGAAUUCGUGGUGUAGCGGUGAAAUGCUUAGAUAUCACGAAGAACUCCGAUUGCGAAGGCAGCUUACUAACCUGUAACUGACAUUGAUGCUCGAAAGUGUGGGUAUCAAACAGGAUUAGAUACCCUGGUAGUCCACACGGUAAACGAUGAAUACUCGCUGUUUGCGAUAUACAGCAAGCGGCCAAGCGAAAGCGUUAAGUAUUCCACCUGGGGAGUACGCCGGCAACGGUGAAACUCAAAGGAAUUGACGGGGGCCCGCACAAGCGGAGGAACAUGUGGUUUAAUUCGAUGAUACGCGAGGAACCUUACCCGGGCUUAAAUUGCAGAUGAAUUACGGUGAAAGCCGUAAGCCGCAAGGCAUCUGUGAAGGUGCUGCAUGGUUGUCGUCAGCUCGUGCCGUGAGGUGUCGGCUUAAGUGCCAUAACGAGCGCAACCCUUGUUGUCAGUUACUAACAGGUUCCGCUGAGGACUCUGACAAGACUGCCAUCGUAAGAUGUGAGGAAGGUGGGGAUGACGUCAAAUCAGCACGGCCCUUACGUCCGGGGC